AUUGAACGCUGGCGGCAGGCCUAACACAUGCAAGUCGAGCGGAUGAAGGGAGCUUGCUCCUGGAUUCAGCGGCGGACGGGUGAGUAAUGCCUAGGAAUCUGCCUGGUAGUGGGGGAUAACGUCCGGAAACGGGCGCUAAUACCGCAUACGUCCUGAGGGAGAAAGUGGGGGAUCUUCGGACCUCACGCUAUCAGAUGAGCCUAGGUCGGAUUAGCUAGUUGGUGGGGUAAAGGCCUACCAAGGCGACGAUCCGUAACUGGUCUGAGAGGAUGAUCAGUCACACUGGAACUGAGACACGGUCCAGACUCCUACGGGAGGCAGCAGUGGGGAAUAUUGGACAAUGGGCGGAAGCCUGAUCCAGCCAUGCCGCGUGUGUGAAGAAGGUCUUCGGAUUGUAAAGCACUUUAGGUUGGGAGGAAGGGAAGUAAGUUAAUACCUUGCUGUUUUGACGUUACCAAAAGAAUAAGCACCGGCUAACUUCGUG
rnacentral:rRNA from 1 species